rnacentral:rRNA from 1 species
GAAACCCGCCUCCGUGAAGUUGGAUUCGCUAGUAAUCGCGCAUCAGCCAUGGCGCGGUGAAUACGUUCCCGGGCCUUGUACACACCGCCGUCAAGCCAUGGAAGCUGGGGGUGCCUGAAGUUCGUGACCGCAAGGAGCGACCUAGGGCAAAACCGGUGACUGGGGCUAAGUCGUAACAAGGUAUC